UACAGAGGUCUCAAGCGUUGUUCGGAUUCAUUGGGCGUAAAGCGUGCGUAGGCUGUUCGGCAAGUUGGAAGUGAAAGCCCAGGGCUCAACCCUGGAAUUGCUUUCAAAACUGCCAAACUAGAAUCCGGGAGAGGAUAGCGGAAUUUCCAGUGUAGUAGUGAAAUACGUAGAUAUUGGAAGGAACACCAGUGGCGUAAGCGGCUAUCUGGACCGGCAUUGACGCUGAGGCACGAAAGCGUGGGGAUCAAACAGG
rnacentral:rRNA from 1 species